rnacentral:rRNA from 1 species
UACGAAGGGGGCUAGCGUUGCUCGGAAUUACUGGGCGUAAAGCGCACGUAGGCGGAUCUUUAAGUCAGGGGUGAAAUCCUGGAGCUCAACUCCAGAACUGCCUUUGAUACUGAGGACCUCGAGUUCGGGAGAGGUGAGUGGAACUGCGAGUGUAGAGGUGAAAUUCGUAGAUAUUCGCAAGAACACCAGUGGCGAAGGCGGCUCACUGGCCCGAUACUGACGCUGAGGUGCGAAAGCGUGGGGAGCAAACAGG